rnacentral:rRNA from 1 species
GACGAACGCUGGCGGCGUGCUUAACACAUGCAAGUCGAACGAGAAUCUGUGGAAAGAGGAUUCGUCCAAUUGAAGCAGAGGACAGUGGCGGACGGGUGAGUAACGCGUGAGGAACCUGCCUUUCAGAGGGGGACAACAGUUGGAAACGACUGCUAAUACCGCAUAACAUAUAGAUGUCGCAUGGCAUUUAUAUCAAAGAUUUAUCGCUGAAAGAUGGCCUCGCGUCUGAUUAGCUAGUUGGUGAGGUAACGGCCCACCAAGGCGACGAUCAGUAGCCGGACUGAGAGGUUGAACGGCCACAUUGGGACUGAGAUACGGCCCAGACUCCUACGGGAGGCAGCAGUGGGGAAUAUUGGGCAAUGGGCGCAAGCCUGACCCAGCAACGCCGCGUGAAGGAAAGAAGGCUUUCGGUUGGUAAAC